rnacentral:rRNA from 1 species
GAUGAACGCUGGCGGUCUGCUUAACACAUGCAAGUCGAACGGGAUCUUCCGGGAGCUGGUGGCGGCCGGGUGAGCAACGCGUGAGAAUCUGCGUUUUUGAGGGGGCUAUCGCUUGGAAACGACUGCUAAUACCCCAUGUGCCGAGCGGAUAAAAGUACUUCGCGAAGGGAUGAGCUCGCGUCGGAUCAGCUAGUUGGUGGGGUCUGAGCCCACCACGGCGACGGUCCGUAGGUGGUCUGUGAGGAUGACCAGCCAGACGGGGACUGAGACACGGACCAUACUACUGCGGGAAGCAGCAGGGAGGAAUGUUCCGCGAUGGGCGCAAGGCUGACGGAGCAAGACCGCGUGAGGGAAGACGGUCUGUGGAUUGUAAACCUCUGUUUACAAGGAAGAAUUACUGACGGUACCUGGCGAAUCAGCCUCGGCUAACUCCGUG